UUUAUCUUCAAAAACUGGAAAGGAAGGGUCAAAGAAAAGACAGUAGCUGGCCGGUCGUGGUGGCUCAUGCCUGUAAUCCCAACACUUUGGGAGGCUGAGGCAGGCAGAUCACCUGAGGUUGGGAGUUCGAGACCAGCCUGACCAACAUGGAGAAAUGCCAUCUCUACUAAAAAUACAAAAAUUAGCCGGGCAUGGUGGCACGUGCCUGUAAUCCCAGCUACUCAGGAGGCUGAGGCAGGAGAAUCGCUUGAACCUGGGAGGUGGAAGUUGCAGUGAGCUGAGAUCACGCCAUUGCACUCCAGCCUGGGCAACAAGCGAAACUCUGUCUCAAAAAAAAAGAAAAGACAGUAGCUUAUGUUCAUGUCAAGCACCUCUCAUCACAGUCUAGUUCCAAGGAAAAAUUCCAGCGUUUUCUACAUUGGGUGCUGUGUCAUCUGAAAUCGGCACAUUCCAUGGAGGAAGGAGUCCUGCUUUGUUGCAUGUAUCCUAGGGUUUAAUGUUGGUAAAUGAGUCACUCUAGCAUUUGUAGAAGGCUCCCUGAGACUCC
rnacentral:lncRNA from 10 species